AUCGUCACUCUGGACCCAUAGCUACUCCAUCCCGAGUAGCCAUGGGCUUACCAUAGAAGGAACAAACUCUUAAUCUUAGAACUGCUUUAGGCAGUGGGCGUGAUGGUUAAAAACUCGGCCUUUGGCGUCGACCUCAGACGGAGAUCUACCAAUUAGGAAAUUAGCUGUGAUUUAGAAAAUUUAAUAUUUCGAUGCCAUACUUUCCUAAUCUGCAAAAUUUUUGUAAAUACCUGUGACCUAGUGUCGUGAGCGCUUAGCAACACCUGACACCCACUAAGCUCUCAGCCAGUGGUUCUGAAAGUGGUUCUAGACCAGCAACAACAGCAGUAGCAGCAGCACCUGUGAACUUGUUAGAAAUGCAAAGUUUCAGGCCCAUUCCAGUUCUACUGAAUCUGAAACUCGAAGGGAACAGCAACCUAUGUUUUAAUAAACCCCAAGGACCUGGGACCUGUACUGUCUGCGGUUACCUUAGU
rnacentral:lncRNA from 1 species